rnacentral:rRNA from 1 species
GACGAACGCUGGCGGCGUGCUUAACACAUGCAAGUCGAACGGAAAGGCCCUGCUUUUGUGGGGUGCUCGAGUGGCGAACGGGUGAGUAACACGUGAGUAACCUGCCCUUGACUUUGGGAUAACUUCAGGAAACUGGGGCUAAUACCGGAUAGGAGCUCCUGCUGCAUGGUGGGGGUUGGAAAGUUUCGGCGGUUGGGGAUGGACUCGCGGCUUAUCAGCUUGUUGGUGGGGUAGUGGCUUACCAAGGCUUUGACGGGUAGCCGGCCUGAGAGGGUGACCGGCCAAAUUGGGACUGAGAUACGGCCCAAAAUCCUAAGGGAGGCAGCAGUGGGGAAUAUUGCCCAAUGGGCGGAAGCCUGAUGCAGCAACGCCGCGUGCGGGAUGACGGCCUUCGGGUUGUAAACCGCUUUCGCCUGUGACGAAGCGUGAGUGACGGUAAUGGGUAAAGAAGCACCGGCUAACUACGUG